rnacentral:rRNA from 1 species
UACGUAGGGUGCAAGCGUUAAUCGGAAUUACUGGGCGUAAAGCGUGCGCAGGCGGUUUUGUAAGACAGAGGUGAAAUCCCCGGGCUCAACCUGGGAACUGCCUUUGUGACUGCAAGGCUUGAGUGCGGCAGAGGGGGAUGGAAUUCCGCGUGUAGCAGUGAAAUGCGUAGAUAUGCGGAGGAACACCGAUGGCGAAGGCAGCCCCCUGGGCCAAUACUGACGCUCAUGCACGAAAGCGUGGGGAGCAAACAGG